CAAGAGCGUAUGUAAAAGUUGUUGCAGUUAAAAAGCUCGUAGUUGAACCUUGGGUUUGGUUGGCCGGUCCGCUUUUUUGCGAGUACUGGAUUCAACCGAGCCUUUCCUUCUGGCUAACCAGUCGUUUCGGCGGCUGGCGAACCAGGAUUUUUACUUUGAGAAAAUUAGAGUGUUCAAAGCAGGCAUUAGCUUGAAUAUAUUAGCAUGGAAUAAUAGAAUAGGACGUUAUGGUUCUAUUUCGUUGGUUUCUAGGACCAUCGUAAUGAUUAAUAGGGACGGUCGGGGGCAUCAGUAUUCAGUUGUCAGAGGUGAAAUUCUUGGAUUUACUGAAGACUAACUACUGCGAAAGCAUUUGCCAAGGACGUUUUCAUUAA
rnacentral:rRNA from 1 species